rnacentral:tRNA from 1 species
GCUCGCUUAGCUCAGUUGGUCAGAGCGUGGUGCUAAUAACGCCAAGGUCACAGGUGCGAUCCCUGUAGAGCA